AAAAAUUUGUGUUAAAAAUUUAAUUUGAGUUGGUACAAAAAAAAAUCCCCUAGAUGUUACUAACGAAUCCACGUGAAAGAAACUGACAAACGUCAAAAUCGUUAAAACGUCAAAACAAAUAAUUAAAAGGAUAAAAAUCAUUAUUCUCAAAGUUUAAUGGAAAAUUAACGUUAGAUGGUGUGAAAUGACUCAAAAUAGGAAAAGAGGAAGGAACGUCUUAGAAGAUGAAAUGGAGUUUAUGCCUCUUUCUAAACGUAUUAAUAACUUACAUAUAAACAAUACGUUAUUGACAAAUCCCCCAAAUUUAGGAAAUGGUGAAUGGCCGGUGGCUUAUGGGCUCCCAACGCCGCCGGAAUCAAAUAAUGAUUGGACAAGUUAUAAUCCGGAACUAUCAGAAACAGAAAAUCCACAUUAUUACAAUAUUAAUAAACUUUUGUAUGAAAUGUACAUAGAGAGACAGCAAAGAUCUAGGAAUACUAUGUAGUGUUGCUGUGUCACUAAUAAUUAUUAAUUUAAUUUUAAUCAUUUUUUUUAUUUAUAUUAUUAUUAUAAUAUCAUUAGGUUAAUUUAAUCUAGAUAAUAUUCCUAAAUAAUAAAGAUGCUCUAAACGAU